rnacentral:rRNA from 1 species
AUGUCUUGGUUGAGUUGGGAUAAGAUGAUCAUGCCAAAAUCAAAAGGUGACAUGGGAUUCCGAGAUAUGUAUGUGUUCAAUCAAGCCGUGCCGGCCAAACAGGCUUGGUGCCUAUUGGGGUCCCCGGAUAGUUUACGUCCACUUCUCCUCCAUGCAAAAUAUUGUCUCAAUGGGAACUUGAUGGAAACGUUUUUUCUGGCAAUAUCUGCGGUGUGGCGGGGUAUUGAGCAUGGUCUUGAAUUGCUAAAGGAGGGCUUAUGGAGGGUGGGUAAUGGUGUUCAGAUUCUUACUUGGAGAAACCCAGGGAUCCCUUGUGGUCCUUCCUUCAAACCCGCUAGCCCAAAGAGAAAUUGUCGGCUGAAUCGUGUUUCUGACUUUAUGGACGAGAAUGGUAAUUGGAAUACACGUUUACUAAAUGAGCACUUCUGGCCUGUGGAUGUGUUGCAAAUUUGAAAGAUUCACACUUCACUGUGGCAGCUUGAUGAUUUCCUUGCCUGCCAGUCGGAGAAGAGUGCGUUCACGGUGAAAAGUGCCUAUCAUCUGGCUAUGAAAAAUCAUGAGGAGACCUAUUCUUCAGGUGCUUCUAGUGCUCAACCUAAUGGUGCAAGACCGAUUUGGAGUCUUUUUUGGCAAGCAAACGUCCCGCAGAAAAUGAAAGUGAUGGCUUGGAAGGUGGCAAUGGGUGCUCUUGCUACAUUUAAAUGCAUGUAA